CUUUCUUUGCUGGCGACCGGCGCACGGGUGAGUAACACGUAUCAACCUGCCCUUUUACUCGGGGGUAGCCUUUCGAAAGAAAGAUUAAUACCCGAUAGCAUAAUGAUUCCGCAUGGUUUCAUUAUUAAAGGAUUCCGGUAAAGGAUGGGGAUGCGUUCCAUUAGGUUGUUGGUGAGGUAACGGCUCACCAAGCCUUCGAUGGAUAGGGGUUCUGAGAGGAAGGUCCCCCACAUUGGAACUGAGACACGGUCCAA
rnacentral:rRNA from 1 species